rnacentral:rRNA from 1 species
UACGUAGGUGGCAAGCGUUUGUCCGGAAUUAUUGGGCGUAAAGCGCGCGCAGGCGGUCCUUUAAGUCUGAUGUGAAAGCCCACGGCUCAACCGUGGAGGGUCAUUGGAAACUGGGGGACUUGAGUGCAGAAGAGGAAAGUGGAAUUCCAAGUGUAGCGGUGAAAUGCGUAGAGAUUUGGAGGAACACCAGUGGCGAAGGCGACUUUCUGGUCUGUAACUGACGCUGAGGCGCGAAAGCGUGGGGAGCAAACAGGG